AUGGCCAGUACAGGGGAAUUAUCAACUGAUCAAUACUCUUUGUCACUCUGACGUUAGGACAGGAAUAGACAUUACAUAAUUUGAGUUAUUGAAAAUCUCCUGUUUUAGUUGGAACAUUCUUUCCUUUUUUCCCUCAUUAGCUAUGGCUAGCAUUGGUUUGGCAUUUUCUGGCGGCGGCAUUCGGUCAGCGGCAUUAUGCUCUGGUGUCCUGCGCAGGGUGCUGGAAAAAAAGGUAGAGGUGGACUACCUCAGCUGCGUAUCUGGGGGCGGCUACACUGGCACAGCUUACCUGGACUGGAAAUACAGGAAUGGGAAGCGAGACGAUAAAAAAUGGCAUAAGGUGUUCUUUGAUCACAUGAGAGAUAGAGCAGGGUACUUUUGUCGCUGGGAGGAGCCGUUAGAAGGCGUCAUUAGCACCAUGAUUCUACUUUGCCUCUUUCUUCUCAUCACCAUAAUCGAGCCAAUCAUCAUAUGUGGGUCGUACGCAUGCCCCAUCGCCUUCUUCAUCGACCUCCUUUUUGGAAAGUCCUUACGAGCCAAGCUGGACUGCGAUGACGUUGCUGAGAAAGGUGAUCCAGAGAUGCAAUUUUCCGUCGACCCCAAUGCUACAGCUGAGGAAAUCCGAGAGCAUUGCCUGGAUCGACAAGGAACUGACGAUUCUUACACCAUCAUUCUCUUCUCUGUUUUGUUUGUUCUCUUCGUUGUAUUUUUUGUUUUGGCCAAAAGUUGUUCUGGAAGGAAGAGAUACUCUACUCCCCUGAGUUUUAUCCACACAACACUCAUUGUUUUUCUGGCUCUUACUUUCUUUCCUUUUGCCAUUCACGACUUUUUGAUCAAAAUUCCAUCCUGGACGCAGUAUCUUUUCGUGUUUAUUGGAAUCAUGGUAUGGUUCUUUCUUCCUCUUCUGCGCAGUAAAACAUCUUAUGUUUUGGUCAUCUAUUUCUAUUCUUAUGCUAUUUACUGGAAGGUGUACGAAGCCACUUUGCUCGGCAUUCAGUUUUCUGGGGAGCUAUUUAAUCGGUUGCUCUUUGUGUCUGGUUUUGCUCUGUGGAUUGUCCCGUUCUUAGGGGCAUCACACAAAAGACUUAUGCAUGUUUAUAACAGGUAAGCAAAUCGAAUCGCCCAUUUUACUAGAAAGUGAAGUCCAACAAUGUUUUCAAGUGGAAAUUCACAUCAUUUGGCAGGUUUCAACCUGCCAAACAUGUACCGCAAUUUUCUGAGUUUUAUAGCGACUAAGUUUGGACUAAGUAGGUACGUACGCGCCUAUUUGCCCGCCGGAAAGGAACGGACAACGGUUCAAAUGUUUGCGCCACCAAGAAAGUACCAAAUUAAAAAUUAACAUACGGCUUUUACAGCCAUGCUAAUUGCUCAUAUUGUCUCCAAUUGAACGUACUUUUUGACUUCUCAUUGCGACUGGCUUAUCUGACGUUUUGCAGAGAAAUAGAAGUGGUCACUGGGUGAAAGUCAUCUCCAGCAUUCAAUUUUACACCAGUUUUUCUCCUUGGUGGAAGAACGAAAAUCUCUGGGACCAGGAACUGUGACAAAAUUCGCCUUUCAGGGCGCUGAGGGACCACACACCUCACCCAGAAAUCCUAACGUUGCAUUUACAUCUUUUCACAGGUGGAGACUCCAGAAAGCGUUCUAUCAUCCCGACGGUCUUGGUACAGCUGGAUGCUCAGGGAUUGGUAUGCAGGAUAUCUGUCCAGCGUGGCUCGCUUGUCAGUCAAGAUGCAACCAGGACCACGACAGCCACGACAACCUUGUCGGUGAAAGAAGGGCAGAGACAAGGUCGUUGAGCCUAGCAGAUCUCAAGGAUACCAAACCCGAGUACUUGUCAAACAUUGUUGUGAACCGAUGGAGGCUAAGUGAAGAGUCUGAGGAAAGUUAUGGGCUUUUAACGAUGUCUCCUACAGGAAUCGAGCGUUUAGACCACACCCAAGGACCUGACCCGUUCGAAGGCAGCCUAGGGUCUGCAGACAUAAAACUGUCAGAUGCCAUGGCUACAUCGGCCGCUGCACUUUCACAGCACAUGGGAAAAUAUGACAAUUCUGUGGAAGGACUGAUCCGUUUUCACACGCUUCUUGGGCUUGAAAUGGGCGCAACGAUGAUAAGCGACUACAGAGCAGUGAGAGAUGAAAGUAUUGUAUUUCGGGUAUGUUGUUUUACCUGUUUAUCAGUGUAUCUUUCAUGCAUCUCCUUCAAGGUUUAGAUUACUUCAGUCGAGCACUAUAAACACGGACUAGGAAGGAUUAAAUGAUUGCAUCAAAGACUAUAACGCUGAUAUCUGACAAAUAUUGCACUCAUGAACCUUCUGGAUGAAACCACCUCCAGAUUCUAAGAGUUUAUAAGAUCAUCCUCAUCAUUUGAUGUUGCGGGUUACGGCUAAGCUAUCAUAACUUGAGGGAUGGCGCUUCUUGAAGAGGGGCACGUUUUAGAGGGGCACGACCUCUUGGAAACAGGGCGUUAAGUCGAAUCAUUACGAUUAACAUAAUGAGCAUUAAUGAUCAUUUCGAGGGAAGCGCAAUGGCGCAAUGGUAAGAGCGCUGGACUCGGGAGCGAGUAGUCUAGGUUCAAGCCCUGGCAGGGGUCAUUUUGUUGUGUUCCUGCACUCUCACAGAACCUCUCUCCACCCGGGUGUGUAAAUAGGUACCGACGGCUGGGGGUAAACCUGCGAUAAACAAGUAUCCCAUCCAGGGAGAGAAGAUAUACUUCUAGUCGUUUCACGUGGUAGAGAUAUAAGCGCCAAUCUGACGGACAACUAGACUCCAACACACACUUCAUCUAGCUGUCUACCUAUUUAUCAUUUCAACAGAUACUACCGUUUCUCGUGGAUAUUUUUUGCGCUCUUCCGUUAAUCUGUGUACCGGCACUUUAUUACCGCGGAGAAACUGAAUCGUCAGUUAAAGCUGGAGUGAUAAGCUUCUUCGUUAUACACUUUCUUCUGGCCUUCAUCGCAGUCAAAGACACCGGAAAGAAAAACCCGAAUAAGUUGGAAAAGUUAGCCAGGUAACUUCAAUUUAGACAUUUGCAAGUCAAAUGUCUGAAGGUUUUUGUUUUAAGAUGAACUGUUCCACGUACUUUCUAUUGAAGCUUAUUGAGAAAUAUCAGACAAGCAUUUUAGGACAAAGCUCCGUGGAGUACGUUUGUUUACCAGAUUUCAUCUUCUCGGUGCUAAUUUCAUAUAAGGCCAUAAGUAGGAACGCAAAUGUUUUCAGCUCCAUCAUCCUUGUUAUAUAAUCUUUUUUUUUCACUUUAAAUUAACUCUUCUUCGAAUCUUUUUCGGGUGUCCUAGCUAGUUUCCUUUUUCUGUCUGUGGUUCCCCGAUCCCGUCCAAAGUAUCUAGCUUAUCCAACCUACGCCUCGACGGUUUUCUCUCUCUUUUCAGGUGGUUCAUCGUACACAACUCCUUUGUUCACUAUGUGAGUGAAAUGUUUAACAAAGAAAACAUUGGGCCCAUGCCACCUCCGGUGAUGCUACUCAGCGAUGGCGGCCAUGUCGAAAACCUCGCUUUGCUGCCUCUGUUGAAAAAGAGGCUGAAGAGGAUCGUUGUAGUGGACGGCGGUUUCAAGAAUAACGAAAAGUUGUACGGGGAGAGUCUUUUGAACGCGCUGAUGCUGGCUCGUAAGAAGCUGAACUGCUCGUUUCUAAGUGAAGAAGGCGGCGACGUGAUCUCAGACUUAUUCGAGAAGUUUGUAAAACCUACUGACCCCGGAAAAAAACCGCGUUUUUACAGAUUUAAAGUUAAAUACAAGAGAGACGAAACUGAAGACAAUCAGGACGGUGAAAUCCUACUGAUCGUACCAAGAAAACCGUCCCCAGACGGCGACACGGACGUGGAAGAUGCUGCAGCCCGUUCUACUGAUCCGUUUCCCGCCUUUCAUGGCCUGCACCCUGGUAUGGUCUUGAAGCAAACAGACGUCGACAAAUUGACGUUCUGCUGCUGUGAGUGUUGUCAUAGACGCUCAUGCCGCGGUUGCUCCUCAUGGUUUUGUAACGCCUUCCCACAACACAUCACGGCCAAUCAGUUUUUCACGCCGCGCAUGUUCGAAGCGUAUCAUCGGGAGGGGUACCGCGCAUGCAAAGAAGCCGAAGAUUGGUUUGAAGGCGAAAGGCAGCAGGGCGAGGCGACUGAAAACAUAAUGCUUGUGUGACACACAUUUUGUCCUCAAUUUUCACCCCGCAUAUUCUGUGCGGGUGACAAUGCUUGACAGUAAAAGGCAUAUUGUGCGUGUGUGUGUGUGUGAAAUUAUACGUGUAUUAUUUUUUUUAAGAGAGCAAAAUCUAGGCAGACCUGCUCAUUUUGCUGUCUUUCAGCUGGAAUAUAGAUCUACAAAAGAUUCAGUUUAAUAUUGGAAAUUUGCGAUUCAAAAAUUGUUUCGUUGCGUUACAGCAGUUGUGUGACAGCUGUGACAAAAUGUGUAACAAGUUUGACAGUUGAGGCUAAAGUACAGUGACAACAAACGAGACGGGGGUACUUACCUAUUCAUGGGGGUCAUGGUAGUGGGCUCAAAACGCUUCUUUUUGGGGGGAGAUUUUCAGAAAAAUACCUCCUCGUAAAGUCACCAGAUUGACUUUUUAAUAAAAUAAACUUUACUUGAAUAGAAUCGACAAAAACUUAUUCCCAAACUGGUGCACCCCAGCCCAAAUUCGACCAGUCAUUUAUUGAGGUCACCUUUUUAUUAACUGUUCAAGACCAGUUUACAAGCCCUCUUUAUUGCGUGUUUGUGUAAUCGUUGUUAGAUUACUGAACCUGAAUGGAACCAAAGUAAUGCAGCAAAUGGUUUUAAGGCAGUCUCAAGCUGGUCUUAAGACCUGUUUGGUGUGACAAAGUGGCUAGCUGCCAUGACUAUUUUCAUCUC